rnacentral:lncRNA from 1 species
CUAGGGUGGCCUUGAACCACAUGGCACGUCGGCGGGGGGAAGAUUUCCGGCGGAGAGGAGGAUUUACGGCCGAGGAUUGAACCCGAGAGAACGUUCUUCGGGGCGGCCGCACUGAGAGUGGUGAGAGAUGGGAAGAAGGAUGGAGAUGGUCGAGGUGGCUUGGUCGAGUCUAUCUGAGGAGAAGGAGCGGCGCUCCCAGAAAAAGAAAAGCCCCCGCUCUCUUUCUUUCCUUUCGCCUCUCCCCUUCUCCCUCUGAAAUCUCUCUUCCUCAAAGCGUUCCUCUCUCUCCCCCUUGCGAUAUGGUUUCAGCCAAGAAAGAAAAGAUGCCCCACCCGUCUCUGUGUGAGGAUAGCUUCCAAAGAACCCCAGAACAUUUUGAUGCAGCCUUCUGCGAUUCCCCAAAAAACCAGUGAGCCCCCUUUUGCUUUCCCUCAGCGAGCGCUCCCUGUAUUUCCUUCAAGCUUUCCCUCUUCUGUGAAAGUUCCAGGCAGUGCAAGCAAGAAGAAUGUUCUACUCUCACCA